rnacentral:rRNA from 1 species
CCCGCACAAGCGGUGGAGUAUGUGGUUUAAUUCGAUGCAACGCGAAGAACCUUACCUGGUCUUGACAUCCCGGAGACCCUUAGGAAACUAGGGGGUGCUUCCAUCUGGAAGAAUCUGGAGACAGGUGCUGCAUGGCUGUCGUCAGCUCGUGUCGUGAGAUGUUGGGUUAAGUCCCGCAACGAGCGCAACCCUUGCCUUUAGUUGCCAGCAGUUCGGCUGGGCACUCUAAAGGGACUGCCGGUGUUAAACCGGAGGAAGUGGGGAUGACGUCAAGUCCUCAUGGCCUUUAUGACCAGGGCUACACACGUACUACAAUGGCCGAUACAAAGGGCAGCGACACUGCGAGGUGAAGCCAAUCCCGUAAAAUCGGUCUCAGUCCGGAUUGGAGUCUGCAACUCGACUCCAUGAAGUUGGAUUCGCUAGUAAUCGCGCAUCAGCCAUGGCGCGGUGAAUACGUUCCCGGGCCUU